rnacentral:tRNA from 1 species
GGAGAGGUGACAGAGCGGCCGAUCGUGCCUGUCUCGAAAACAGGUGUACCGUAAGGUACCGAGGGUUCGAAUCCCUCCCUCUCCGCCA